rnacentral:rRNA from 1 species
CAGCAGCCGCGGUAAUACAGAGGGUGCAAGCGUUAAUCGGAAUUACUGGGCGUAAAGCGCGCGUAGGUGGUUUGUUAAGUUGGAUGUGAAAGCCCCGGGCUCAACCUGGGAACUGCAUCCAAAACUGGCAAGCUAGAGUACGGUAGAGGGUGGUGGAAUUUCCUGUGUAGCGGUGAAAUGCGUAGAUAUAGGAAGGAACACCAGUGGCGAAGGCGACCACCUGGACUGAUACUGACACUGAGGUGCGAAAGCGUGGGGAGCAAACAGGAUUAGAUACCCCAGUAGUCCCUGUCUCUUUACA